GGAGGAAAGCAGGGGAUCGCAAGACCUUACGCUGAUUGAGCGGCCGAUGUCAGAUUAGCUAGUUGGUGAGGUAAAGGCUCACCAAGGCGACGAUCUGUAGCGGGUCUGAGAGGAUGAUCCGCCACACUGGGACUGAGACACGGCCCAGACUCCUACGGGAGGCAGCAGUGGGGAAUUUUGGACAAUGGGGGCAACCCUGAUCCAGCCAUGCCGCGUGAGUGAAGAAGGCCUUCGGGUUGUAAAGCUCUUUCGGCCGGGAAGAAAUCGCACAGGCUAAUACCUUGUGUGGAUGACGGUACCGGAAUAAGAAGCACCGGCUAACUACGUGCCAGCAGCCGCGGUAAUACGUAGGGUGCGAGCGUUAAUCGGAAUUACUGGGCGUAAAGCGUGCGCAGGCGGUUUUGUAAGACAGGCGUGAAAUCCCCGGGCUCAACCUGGGAACUGCGUUUGAAACUACAAAGCUAG
rnacentral:rRNA from 1 species